CAGCCCUUACCCUCAUCUUUCUUACGUCAUCUGAAUCUUGGGGCAACUAUCCUUGCUCCAAGUAAGAUCUUAUGAGCCCAUCCAAGUUGGCUCUGCUUUAAUCGAAGCAACCAAAACUGCCUUUAUGCUACGCUUUUUCAAAGUUUCCAAGUACACCGUUCCAUUAUAAUCUUUAAACUCCUUGGAAGCUAGUUUAGAUUGGGCAUCGACUUUUGUAUUCUGAUCUCUUGAAAUAUGUUAAAUCUGGCAUUCCUCAAAUGUGGUCAUUAUGGCCUUAACUACUCACAAAUAUUUGGUCAUUUUUUGCUCCUUUGCUUUAUACUUUCUAUUUGUCUACAUGACCACCAAUUGAGAAUCAGUAAAAAUCUUCAAAUUUUUUCUCUCUGAACUUUUGUCAAACCCAGUCCAGCUAGAAUGGCUUCAUACUCUACUUCACUAUUUGUAGUCGGGAAGUUGAUUUUCAAUGCAUAUUCGAUUGAAAACCCUUCAGGGCUUAAGAGCAUGAGUCAUGCUCCACUCCCCUUUGCAUUUAAAGCCUCAUCUAUGUGUAAAGUCCAAAAUUCUUUCUCAUUCUCCUUAUUUUCUUCAAUCUCCAUACUUACUCGUUGCCCCAGGCUUCAUUACUAGGAAUGCUACAUUCUACGAUGAAGUGUGCUAGUGUUUGAACCUUUAUUGCUGGCCUAGGCUUGUAAGUUAUGUCGAAUUUGUCCAGCUCUAUAGAACAAUUAACUAUUCUACCACUUGAUUCAUGAUUGUGCAU
rnacentral:lncRNA from 1 species